rnacentral:rRNA from 1 species
CCAGCAGUCAUAUGCUUGUCUCAAAGAUUAAGCCAUGCAUGUCCCAGUAUGAGUUUCCACAAGGUGAAACUGCGAAUGGCUCAUUAAACCAGUUGUAGUCUAUGUGAGGGUCUUUACAUGGAUAGCUGUGGUAAUUCUAGAACUAAUACAUGUGCCAAUGCCCAACUUUGCAGACAGGCUUUAUUUAUUGGUUCCGGAACCUGCCCAGGCUAGACCUGGUUGCAUGGUGAUACAUAGUAACUGAAUGAAUUGUGUGGCUUUAGCCGGCGAUGAAUCAUUCAAGUUUCUGACCUAUCAGCUUCCGAUGGUAGGGUAUUGGCCUACCCUGGCAAUGACGGGUAACGGAGAAUUAGGGUUUGACUCCGGAGAGGGAGCCCGAGAAAUGGCUACCACAUCUAAGGAAGGCAGCAGGCGCGCAAAUUACCCAAUCCUGACGCAAAGAGGUAGUGACAAGAAAUAACAAUACAGGGCAUCCACGUCUUGUAAUUGGAAUGAUUAGAAUUUACACCUCUUUUUGAGCAUCGAUUGGAGGGCAAGUCUGGUGCCAGCAGCCGCGGUAAUUCCAGCUUCAAUAGUGUAUAUUAAAGUUGUUGCGGUUAAAAAGCUCGUAGUUGGAAUUCUGCCAAGGCUGACAGGUCCAUCCAUUGGGUGAGCACCUGGCUUGGCUGAGGCAUCUUCUUGGAGAGCGCGGCUGCGCUUUACUGUGCGGCACGCUGUCCAGGGCCUUUACUUUGAGGAAAUUAGAGUGUUUCAAGCAGGUUCAUGCCUUGAAUAUAUUAGCAUGGAAUAAUAAGACAGGGCUGUGGUUGUAUUUUGUUGGUUUCUAGGACUGUGGCAACGAUGAAUCGGAACACUUGGGGGCAUACGAAUUCAACCGUCAGAGGUGAAAUUCUUGGAUUUGUUGAAGACGUCCUAUUGUGAAAGCAUUUGUCAUGAAUGUUUUCAUUGAUCAAGAAUGAAAGUUAGGGGAUCGAAGAUGAUCAGAUACCGUCUUAGUCUUAACCAUAAACUAUGCCAACUAGGGAUUGGAGGUUGUUAUUAAAACGACUUCUUCAGCACCUUGAGAGAAAUCAAAGUCUUUGGGUUCUGGGGGGAGUAUGGUUGCAAGGCUGAAACUUAAAGGAAUUGACGGAAGGGCACCACCAGAAGUGGAGCCAGCGGCUUAAUUUGACUCAACACGGGGAAACUUACCAGGCCCAGACAUAGCAAGGAUUGACAGAUUGAUAGCUCCUUCUUGAUUCUAUGGGUGGUGGUGCAUGGCCGUUCUUAGUUGGUGGAGUGAUUUGUCUGGUUAAUUCCGUGAACGAACGAGACCUUGACCUGCUAAAUAGUCUUGCGCAGCUCCGGCUGUGUGGAGGACUUCUUAGAGGAACUUUGCGUGCCUAAUGCAAGGAAGUCUGAGGCAAUAACAGGUCUGUGAUGCCCUUAGAUGUUCUGGGCUGCACGCGCGCUACACUGAUGUGUUCAACAAGUGUAUAGCUUUGCCUGACAUGGUAGGGCAAUCUUUCUAAAGUGCGUCACGAUGGGGAUAGACUAUUGCAACUAUUAGUCUUCAACGAGGAAUUUCUAGUAGGUGUGAGUCAUCAGCUUGUGCUGAUUACGUCCCUGCCCUUUGUACACACCGCCCGUCGCUCCUACUGAUUGAGUGAUCCGGUAAAUAAUUCGGACUGCGGCUCUGUUCAGUUCCUGUCUAGUGCUGCACAAAGUUUAAUGAACCUUAUCACUUAGAGGAAGGAGAAGUCGUAACAAGGUUUCC